UGUAAAAGUUCCGGUUUAAUAUUAACUAGUUAUGUAUUAAAUUUAACCCCUUAUUUAUAAGAAUGGCUGCUGGAAAGAAGACCUUUAGUACUGUAUGCCAUUAUGCAUCGGAGCAAGCCACAUGAAGGUUGCAAUAAAGAUGAUGAACAAAAAGUAAGGAUAAGUAACAUAAGAAUGGGACAGGAAAAAAUAGAAGUGUUGAAGGACUGACUCCAACUACUGAAGCAGCCUUAUAGUAGAGUAAAAAGAAAAAGAAAAGAGAAAGAAACAAAAUUUAAGUACAUGAACAAAAACUACAGGGACACAAAUAAUGAUAUGUGCAUGAAUUAUAUGAAUCAAAAUGCAAUAAAAAAUGAUCCCAGAAGUGAUUGAUGAUUUGUUGCUUUAA